UACGGGCUUAUCAGGUUGAAGCACUGGUUCUCGUACGACCACCGAAGUUAAGCAACGUCGAGCCUAAUCAGUAUCUAAAUGGGUGACCAUUUGAGAAAACCAUAUACUGUAAG